GUCCCCGAAAGUAUAUACGUCUGCUCGUGCUCCCCAAAACCCGUCUGUGUCAAAACGUCAGAAUUUUCGUUCAUCGGUUCAUUCACCUUGAUCGUUAGAUCAAGUCAGUUAUGGGAUCAUGGCGGUUUGCUGUCAAAAGUUAAGCUAAUUUUUCUUCGAAAAUUCCCUAUUCGAGUGAUUUCGUCUGUAAAUUGUCGGUGAUGUGUUCUAUUCGGUGUAUAUGUUGGAUAAACUUAAUGUUUCUCAUCAACUUAGAGGAGAAAACGUGUUGAAAGGGUUGUGCAGCUUACUUCUGUCAACCAUUUUGUUCAAAAUCAUGGUAUUCUACUGAAUGUGCCAUCAAAAUUAAACAGGUUCUUCAUUACAGGAUUCUAACACAUUGGCAUGACAGGAUUGACAGAUUUGAUGAGAAGGAAGGAGGCAUUCACAUAGUACAGGUUUCUAAAUUGGCAUGUCGUUUGAAGAAAAAGGACAAGGACUAUACAGUCAACAAGAUUCCUUGUUUUCUAACCCGAUGGCUGCUACCCUUGAAUCUCCCUGUUAACUUCCUUACAUGGGUUCUCUUGAUUUGAGGGUAACUCUUUCGCUACUGAUGACAUCAACUGUUGUAAACUGACGAGAGAAUGCUGCAAUUCAAGACUGAUACAUUGUGUAGUUGUUAGAUUCAAUUACAAGUGCAUAUCUGGGCUCCCUUCUUUUCUGUGGCCCC